GCCGGGGUGGCGAAAUUGGCAGACGCGCCAGACUUAGGAUCUGGUGGCCGCGAGGCUGUAGGGGUUCGAGUCCCCUCCCCGGCACCA
rnacentral:tRNA from 1 species